GAUGAACGCUGACAGAAUGCUUAACACAUGCAAGUCUUUGGCGAAGCUGUGCUCGCACAGCCUAGCCAAGGCGGACGGGUGAGUAACGCGUAAGGAACUUGCCCUGCAGUCAGGGAUAACAGACGGAAACGACUGAUAAGACCUGGUAAAGUCAGGCGGACUCAUGUCCAGCCUGAUGAAAAGAGAUGCUGCAGGAGAGCCUUGCGUCCUAUUAGCUUGUUGGUGGGGUAACGGCCCACCAAGGCGAUGAUAGGUAGCCGGCCUGAGAGGGUGGACGGCCACAAGGGGACUGAGAUACGGCCCUUACUCCUACGGGAGGCAGCAGUGGGGAAUAUUGGACAAUGGGGGCAACCCUGAUCCAGCAAUUCUGUGUGCACGAUGAAGGUUUCGGAUUGUAAAGUGCUUUCAGCAGGGAAGAAAGAAAUGACGGUACCUGCAGAAGAAGCGACGGCUAAAUACGUG
rnacentral:rRNA from 1 species